rnacentral:pre_miRNA from 1 species
AAUAGAUGACGCCAUUGACAUUUUCUCACAUGUUUGACCAUUUGUCUUAUUCAAAAAAUUUACGUAAUUAUAAUUUAUUUUGUUAUGAGUUGUUUUAUUAUUCAUAGUGCUUUAAGUGUGAUUUAUAUCUUAUACAUUUGUAUAAAAAUUUUGAAUAAGACGAAUGAUCAAACAUGCGAGAAAAAGUCAACGACGUCAUCUAUU